AAAGAUUUCCAUUUGCAGAAUUAAGUUCAAUUUUGGGCCUACGUGACAAGCCACAUUUUAAUGACACCUUUCCUCAGGUAUGGCUCAAGCUUGUAUGUGGGCUCUAGAUUGGAAGAAUAAAUUCUGGGGACAUUUGAGACUUUUUUAGAUGCUGGUGAGAUAGUCAACCCUCGUGAAUGAAAAAGUUCUGGGGAGAGCCUUUGGACAUUGCUUUCAGGAAGAUUGAUUCUGAUCAUCUUAUCAGCCAAGGCAUAUGACGAGGGAGAGUGCUGGGAGCAGGCAGGCCGUUUCCACCACCGUGACACAGAAACAAACGGCAGAUUAUCUGCUGGGUACAAAAGAGUUCAACAUGUUCAGCCACCAUCUGCCCAGCUGCAAAUUCAGCAGGAAAGAAGCACAGGUGAAGUUGAGAGGAGACUCUUGGUCAGAGGACCACGGAGUAUCCUGAGUUGGAAGGGAUCCACAAGGAUCAUUGAGGUCUACAAAGAGGCUUCAAAUGACUUCUGUAUGCACAGGAAUGCCUAUGAGAUAGAAAACACUAUAGAAAACCAGCACUUACAAGAAGAUGACUUCAAUUUAUACGCUGGUCACCAGUGGGGAUGGUAUAUGUAAAGCUACUCUGGUCUCAUGCCUUUUAGUGUACAUCUCUAUCCAAGAAUGAAUAAAACCUUUGUUUUUUCUAUUCCUUGUUUAUUCUGCUGAGAAAGAGCCUGGAGAGCUUCUGGAAAAGUUGUACAAACAAAUAAAGCUCAGUAAUAUUAAUUCUAAAUUAAAAUAGGAUUGUCAGUUCAUCUGCUUACUAAACCUCAGUUUUCAAUGGAUACGUCAUUUUUUGAGGGUACUUUUCAAAUAUGCUUGCAAGAGGAGAAUGGCAAGCUUGUGUACUAAUAAUGUUCUUAUAGACUCUUCACUUAAAAAUUAUGCACAUCUGAUGUUUUGGUGAUGUGAGCAAAACUCUACUAACACUUAAUACCAGUAAUAAAUAACUUUCUUGAGCUGUCUGGUUGUUUCCCAGAUAUGAAUUAAAGAAACAAGAUCUAACACUUUCCCACAAUUACUUUUGAUCUUGUAAUUAAUUCCAUAUGAG
ensembl:lncRNA